CACCUGCUGAGUUCCAGCGCAUCCUGCAAAGAACUCAGGAGACAGGAAAAGAAACGUCCUUCCUUAUAUGCUUAGAGGUCGACGGAACCUCAGUUUGAGCUCUGGUCAACUCUGCUAUUUCCUGUCCAGACCUAUCCUUGGGACCAAAUAAUAGAGAAGAACACAUUUCCAGUUCACUGUAGACAUCACUGAACAGCUCCAUCAUUAGUCGGCCUCUGCAUGUUGACGAGAUGGCUGUGACAUACUCAGAGGAAGAGCAAAAGCUGCUUCUCUCCCAGACACACACCUUCAAGUCUCAUGGGCUCUGAUCUCAAGACAGCCUGGGGAGGUACCUGGUAUUAUGAGCCGUAUUUUACAGAUGAGGAAAUUCUGAAGUAAGUGAUUUCUGCAAGGACACAGCUAUAAGUGGCACACUCAAGGCAUUUAUCAAUAUCUGAC